UGAGCAACCUGCCCUUGACACUGGAAUAACAGUUGGAAACAGCUGCUAAUACCGGAUAUGACCUCUGACGACAUCGUCUGGAGGUGGAAAGCUCCGGCGGUCAAGGAUGGGCUCGCGGCCUAUCAGCUUGUUGGUGAGGUAACGGCUCACCAAGGCUUCGACGGGUAGCCGGCCUGAGAGGGCGACCGGCCACACUGGGACUGAGAUACGGCCCAGACCUCCGUAGGGA
rnacentral:rRNA from 1 species